CGGCGCAGCAGGGGGAGGUGUCGACAGAUCCAGCUUGGCGCAGUGACAGUUUCGUGCCAAAAGGCUUCGCCGAAGGUGCGCUAAAAGCUCGCCAGCUGAAACCAGGUCUACUGUCAGCACAGGGGGAGCGCAGCCGGUGUAAGCCGAAGUUUGGCUGACCGGCGGACAGUGCGCACACGUCACCAAAACCUCACAGGCAGGUUUCCAGAAUAUCAGGCACAUUAACGAUGCAAUAAAUACCCAAAAAACCACUAUUCAAUGCAACUAUCUGCAAUCAGCACAUAAAUGUAUCUCUAUAUCGACUGUCCCGUCACAUCUGAUGUCAGAUCAAAGGGGAUUGGCACCGUUUGGCACGUUUGGCACGCGUAAUGGAAACCCAACCUGAUUUGAUUAACACAGCUGCAAACUAAUGAGUUCACAUCCCUCUCAGCCAACCACAAACAGCCACAGCAUCAGAUGGGGAGUAUAUAUUCAGCAUCUGUCAUCUUAGAAAAGUCAAAAGAA